AAUCAGUCGUAAUAUGGGUGGCUAAAAAGAUAAACAGCAGCAUAGAGUAUGUGCAUGUUCAUGUUGAACAGAUAUUACGAUGUUGUGAAUAAAGACUGCCACUUAUAUUAAGAUUUAAGCAGAUGACUAGUACAUGUAGAUUUUAUUGUUUGCAUAAUUAAAUAACACAGUUAUAAUAGUUAUUUUCACAAAUAAACAAAUAUUAAAUUCAAAAUGGCGGCAAAUAUGGCGGCCGCCGGCCUCCGAUGUCCGUUUUGUUGAUACUAAGAUAAAUUCAAAAUUUUAACACCAACUGGUAUUUAUAUUUUUAAUUUAAGGUUGAAAUUACACAAUUAGGUUUAUUUGCAUUUAAAAUAAAUUAAUAAUGAAUUAUUUAUUUAUUUUUUUCGAUCACGUGACGUUUUUGAGUUCUAUGAUUGGUCAAUAACAGAGCGCGGAUUUUUCCAUGGACGAUUUGAAUGUUUGGAUGUUGAAAGUGUUGAUAGAAAAAAAGGAGAUAAAACCAGUUGCAGAAUAUUGGUACAUGAUGUUUCCAUGAGCUGAAUCUGUCCUGCCCUGGAGUACAUGAAAUUCUUCACAAUAUUACUUGUUUAAGAAUUGAAGAAAAGGUUAAAAUUGCAAGCAUAUUUCAACGAAAACUUAGCCGACUACCAGUCACACUGCCCACCAGCCAAGACGUCUGACCAGCUAAAAUGAGGGAUGCAGUCCACCAGCCAAGUCCCUCGGCCAGCUCGGCUGACCCAGUGCGGCCUGUCAAGGGAUGACCAAGUCCAUCAACUAGCUCGGCUGACUACCAGUGCAGCCUGUCAAGUCCUUCAACUAACUUGGCCUAUUACCAGUGCGGCCUGUCAUUGAACAACUAAGUCCAUCAACUAGAUUGGCUUACUAUCAGAGCUGCUUUUCAAGGGAUGGUCAAGUCCGUCAACUAACUUAACCUACUACCAGUGCCGCAUGUCAAGAGAUGGCCAAGUUCGUCUCGGCUUACUACCAGUACGGCCUGUCAAUAUAGGGACGGUUAAGACCAUUGACUAACUUGGCCGUCUACCAGUGCGGCUUGUCAAGGGACGUUUAAGUCCGUCAACUAACUUGACCAACUACAGAUGCGACCUGUCAAGGGAUGGCCAAGUCCGUCAACUAUCUUGACCAACUACCAGUGCGGCCUGUCAAACGAUGGCCAAGUCCUUCAACUAACUUGGCCUACUACCAGUGUGGCCUGUCAAACGAUGGCUAAGUCUGUCAGCUAACUUGGUAUACUACCAGUGCGGCCUGUCAAACGAUGGCCAAGUCCUUCAACUAACUUGGUCUACUACCAGUGCGGCCUGUCAAACGAUGGCUAAGUCUGUCAGCUAACUCAGCCAACUUUCAGUGCAGCUUAUCUUCAAAUAAUAAAGAUAAACAACUGUACACCUGCAAGGAUACCUGUGCAAGGAGGGUGGUAUGCAGCUAGAAACUGUGACUGAAAUCACUGUUUAUAGAAACUUUCUUUUUUUUUUGAAAUACAGCUAGAUCAAAAAUAAAUAGGGUGUUAAUAUUUAAAAAUUAGUGAUGCCUGUUUAUACAAUUAGCAAGAGUAGAAUGCAGUUUGCUAGGUAAUUUUACAAAGACCCUAAUUGCUAUAUGCUAAAAAUGUAUUCUUUAAAACAACCAGAGAAAUUUCAAUCUGUUGUAGAUGACAUGAUGUAAAAUAAGGUACACUUGAAUUUUUAAAACAAUUGCAUGUGCAUUCAUUUAGUUGUAUUUGACAAUAAACCAAGCUAUCUUUAUCGUGUUUGUUAGGUAAAAUUGUUAUUGCCUUUAAUAUGUUUUAAAUAAU